rnacentral:rRNA from 1 species
UACGUAGGGUGCGAGCGUUGUCCGGAAUUAUUGGGCGUAAAGAGCGUGUAGGCGGCUUGGUAAGUCCGCUGUGAAAGUCCAGGGCUCAACCCUGGAAAGCCGGUGGAAACUGUCAAGCUUGAGUCCGGAAGAGGCGAGUGGAAUUCCUGGUGUAGCGGUGAAAUGCGCAGAUAUCAGGAGGAACACCCGUGGCGAAAGCGGCUCUCUGGGACGGUACUGACGCUGAGACGCGAAAGCGUGGGGAGCAAACAGG